rnacentral:rRNA from 1 species
UACGUAGGUCGCAAGCGUUGUCCGGAUUUACUGGGCGUAAAGAGCGCGCAGGCGGCUGGUCAAGUCCGAUGUGAAAUCUCCCGGCUCGACUGGGAGGGGUCUUCGGAUACGGGCGGACUUGAGGAGAGCAGAGGUAGGCGGAAUGCUGGGUGUAGUGGUGAAAUGCGUAGAUAUCGGGAGGAACACCGGUGGCGAAGGCGGCGUUCUGGACUGCAACUGACACUGAGGAACGAAAGCCAGGGGAGCAAACGGG